rnacentral:rRNA from 1 species
UACGGACGGUGCAAGCGUUGUUCGGAAUCACUGGGCGUAAAGCGCGUGUAGGCGGCCUCUUAAGUCUGGUGUGAAAGCCCGGGGCUCACCCCCGGAAGGGCACUGGAUACUGGGAGGCUAGAGUACCGGAGAGGAGGGUGGAAUUCCUGGUGUAGCGGUGAAAUGCGUAGAUAUCAGGAGGAACACCGGUGGCGAAGGCGGCCCUCUGGACGGCUACUGACGCUGAGACGCGAAAGCGUGGGGAGCAAACAGG